GACCUGGCAUAGCUUUCACAGAGACUGGUUUGAGGUCAUGCUAAUUCCAGAACUGCAGAGGCAACAGAUGUCAUCACAGGAUUCAAAUGUGCAUCAUGGAGAGAAACUUUCCAUUUUGAUCUUCUGCACUCAGCUCCAAAUAGCCAGUCAAAACUUGGCAUCCUACAGCAAAGAAACACAAUACCACUACAAGAAAACAACAUACUACCCAGUAGAUGAAAGAGGAUUAAGGACUGUAAAUCCAUCUCAGUGGGGAAUGUCUGGCUCAGAUGCUCAGCAACUGAUAGAGAUGCUUUCCCAUGUAGGUCACUGGACUGGGUCUCCUCCAGGUCAGUAGCAGCCAAAGUCCUGUAGGAUUUGGAUGAGAUCCUCUACAGCCACAGCCUCCAGCCCCUAACCAUCCCAAAGGACCGUGCAAGGAGCACAGCUCUGCUUGGGUGGGGUGAAUAAUAGAGCUAGCAAGCAGGAACCGGCAUUGCAAUCCCUUCAGUCAACAGCCCAGUGUGCAAACCAAGGAAGGAUGAGCUGUCUGCAUUAUGCCAGUUGAAUGAUUUAAUGAUCGCAGCCAAACACAUUUGCAACGGAGAAGCCACUGCUGUACUUAGCAAUAUUUUUCCACCUGACUGGCCUACUGAAGAUACUGUUAUGAUGCAGAGUCCUCCAAUUUGUACCACUGGUUGCUGAGCGUCAUAUUUCCAGAAGUUAACAAUCCUCCCAGAUUAAAAAAAGCAAAGGUGCACCGGACUGGAAGGAAGUGUGCAUGGUUCAGCACUCUCCUACUUUAAUCCGCAGCGCCUGGCUGCUGACAAGAUAGACUGUUACAGCUCCUUUAGGGCUCUUCUGCGUGCUUGUGCCAGUUCUUAAUCUAUGGAUCAUUGACAUGAUGGAACAUAACGGGAGCUUCAGAGCCCAUUAUAUUUUCAGUUGUCAAAUUGAACACAGGGAGACUUUCAUCAUCCAACAUUCAGUAUAACGCUACAUACGGACAUCAUCACAAAACCUUUAAUCUUUCAUACCACAAAGGUAUGAAGCACCACUCCACUUUUUUUUUUUUUUUUCUCUUCAAAGUCCAAAUUACCAACUGUAAUGAUGCAAAAUGUUUUCAUUGGAGUCAUUUUUUUUUCUCUUUUCCAAGCUAAAACAUUACAAUUAUAAGACCACCACAGAUUCUGAGUACCAUUUUUGCUGCUUAGCUAUCUGAUUAGAAAACAGUUCUUUAAAAGCUGCUUAAAAUUGCUAAGCACUGUUACAACUUCCUUGACAGAUCUCCCUUCCAAGCGCAUUACUGUUUACAGGUGAAAGGUUAAGAGCUGCAAAGUGGGAAUCAGAAAGGCAGCUCAACAGCGUCCUGUCUAACAUGCAGCUCAGAAGUGCAGUGUCCAAAGCAAUCCAUGCCUACUUGCACCUUAAAAAUUUCAGCUGUGAACUUAAGAGUUUCUCUCCACUGCCUUUCCAUGUAUUACAGUGGAGUGGGUAAAAACUGUCAGCUCUGUGAGAUGAUUGGCAAGCAGAGUUGAUUUAGGACCCAGCAGGUGAUAGCAACAAUAAAUGCUAAAUGUGGUUUUAUUGUCAAAGCAUUGAUGAUCUUGGCUUCUAUCUCGCUAAAGAAAAAUUAAAAAAUAAAAAUUAAAAAAAAAAAAUCUUUCCAGCUUUCCAUUCACUUAAACGAGUUCAAAAGGGGAAGACUGCAGCUUUUCCUUCAGCGGACAGAAGUUGGAAUGGAGAACCUGCAUGGAGGUUAGGAUGAAUAUAAAAACUUAGUGAAAUGAACUUCCACGAUUGCCAGAUACACUUUAUCUUCUUUCUCUUGUGUCUCAGCUUGUUCCUUAAGAUGCCUCAUCCCUGAAGGUGUUCAAGAUCAGAUUGGACAGGACUCUGAGCAGCCUGAUCCAGUGCUUGAUCUAGUGGUUGUCAACCCUGCCCACGUCUGGGACAAGAGGAUCUUUGAGGUCUCCAAGCCAUUCUAUGACUCUACUAUUCUUUGAUUCUGACAGCAUGGAAGGAAGCAUUUUGAGAACCACUCAAAACUAAUCUAAGCCAAUAAUCACCAUGAGGCAGAAUAGCAGGUGUGUGAGAUCUGGCCCAUUUGGCAGGAUGGUAGCCACUACUCCAGUUCACCUGCAAGCAAAUAGUUUAUUUACCCACUUAAUCACAAAAUUCACUGAGGCUCCAAAAGCUCUGGAGCCCAGAUAUAUAUAGUCUGCCUUGUUCUCCUCUAAGAAAUCAGCAUUUCUGCAAGGAAAAGUAGGCAGCAGUUAGUGCUACUAAGGCAAAUGCCAGUAGAAGGCAUAGACUGAGCUAGCAGGGUAUGUAGGGAG